ensembl:rRNA 5S_rRNA 5S ribosomal RNA
GCUUACAGCCAUACCACUCUGAGAACGCCCGAUCUCAUGUGAUGUCGGAAACUAAACAGGGUCGGGCCUGGUUAGUACUUGGAUUGGGAGGCUGCCUGGGAAUACCAGGUGCUGUAAGCU